GGAAGGAUCAUUAACACUCAAGUGUUUACCAUCACCCCCCUUUUUGUUGUUUCUGAGUUCCGUCAACCAAUGUCCGGGCCUUCGCGGGCCUGUCUUGACCAAACCCCUCAUUUUUUCGCACCCCUCUUUCUUCGGAAAGCACAGCAUGGCAAUGGUCAGAACGAGGAGCAAAUCCUUCUUCUCCCUGAGCCCGGCUCAAUUCAACCCUUCAACUUUUUUUUUAGACGUGUCACAGCGUAUAAAAGAAAAAUUAAUUCCUUAACAACUUUUGGCAGUGGAUAUCUUGGCUCUUGCAUCGAUGAAGAACGCAGCAAAAUGCGAUAACUAAUGUGAAUCGCAGAAUCCUGUGAAUCAUCAAAACUUUGAACGCACCUUGCAGUCAAGGCUCUUCGGGGCUUUGACUAUGUCUGUUUGAGAAUUGGUACUAUCUCUCAACUCUCUGUGAGUUGGAAGCUGAAGGUGAGACCGGAUCUAUCCCUCUCUCCUUUUAAUAGUUCCAAGCGAAUUCCCAAUUUUGCUCUUCCUCUCUCUUGCAUCCCAAACGCAGUAGAGGUCCCGCAAUGCCUAUAUUACAAUAUAAGCAUUUGUGGAUACCAUGACUGACACUGCGGCUCGAGUGCUCGGAACGCGAAUGUUGUGAAGUAAUGCUCUCAAUGUUGCAGGCUUUUCUUGUUUAACAAGAAAAAACCACACCAUUAAUCUCAAAUCAGACAAGAGUACCCGCUGAACUUAAGCAUAUUACUAAGCGGAGGAAAAGAAACUAACUAGGAUUCCCUCAGUAGCAGCGAGUGAACAGGGAAUAGCUCAAAGUUAAAAUCGGUGAGGGUUUACCCGAGCCGAGUUGUACUUUGGAGAGGUGGUUCUGGAUGGCGCCGGGUAUAAGUUUGUCUCAGAAUGCGGCAUCAAAGAGGGUGAAAAUCCCGUAUUUGACCCGGAAAGUCCAGCCAGCACGGAUCACCAUCGAAGAGUCAGGCUGUUUGGGAUUGCAGCCCUAAGUGGGUGGUAAGGUUCAUCUAAAGCUAAAUAUUUGCAAGAGACCGAUAGCGAACAAGUACCGCGAGGGAAAGAUGAAAAGAACUUUGAAAAGAGAGUGAUAAUAGUCCUUGAAACUGCCAAAGGGACAAGCGUUAGGAACUGUUGUUGCGACCUGGAUCUGUCUUUCAAAGUGCACUGCCCGGGAACAGAGAGCCCUCAAAGGCCUCUGCCUUGGGAUUUGAUGUACUUUGGAGGGCGUCUGAUCCAGGCUGCCGGUCAACCACACUUUUGUGUUUUGCUUCCUCUGAAGGCGGACUCAGUUUUGACCCGCUGGAAAGGAAUGGCCUUGAGUGCGAUCCGCUGUCCCCUCCGGGGCCGGACUGGUGGAUACGAACAGUGUUUGGCAAGGUGGGACUCGUGGUAGAUUCUGCUUGCAGGAUCUACUCGAGCCAUACCUGUCUUGCUGGGUGCUGCUCGCCCGCUGGAGGUUGACUACCUCAUGGUUUCUAACGUCCCGUCUUGAAACACGGACCAAGGAGUCUAGCAUAUAUGCGAGUAUUCGGGUGGUAAACCCAUGAAUGCGCAAUGAAAGUGAAGGGGCUCUUACGAGCUCUGAGGUAGGAAUCUUGCUCCUCGUGGGCGAGAGGCACUAUCGACCGAUCUGGAUGUUUUUUGAAGGAUUCGAGUUAGAGCAUAUCUGCUAGGACCCGAAAGACGGUGAACUAUGCCUGUAUAGGGUAAAGCCAGAGGAAACUCUGGUGGAAGCUCGUAGCGAUACUGACGUGCAAAUCGUUCGUCAAAUAUGGGUAUAGGGGCGAAAGACUAAUCGAACCGUCUAGUAGCUGGUUCCCUC
rnacentral:misc_RNA from 1 species